rnacentral:rRNA from 1 species
AGCGAACGUUAGCGGCGGGCCUAACACAUGCAAGUCGAGCGAGAAAGGGCCUCGGCCUGAGUACAGCGGCGGACGGGUGAGGAACACGUAGGUAAACUGCCCUUCAGUGGAGGACAACGGUCCGAAAGGACCGCUAAUACUGCAUACGUUUCUCGGGUCCUCGGGCCUGGGAAGGAAAGCCUCGCCAGGGGCGCUGGAGGAGGAGCCUGCGUCGCAUCAGCUAGUUGGUGGGGUAACGGCCUACCAAGGCGAAGACGCGUAGCUGGUCUGAGAGGAUGAUCAGCCACACUGGGACUGAGACACGGCCCAGACUCCUACGGGAGGCAGCAGUGGGGAAUAUUGCACAAUGGGGGAAACCCUGAUGCAGCCAUGCCGCGUGUGUGAAGAAGGCCUUCGGGUUGUAAAGCACUUUCAGCGAGGAGGAAAGGUUGACGCCUAAUAUGUAUCAACUGUGACGUUACUCGCAGAAGAAGCACCGGCUAACUCCGUGCCAGCAGCCGCGGUAACAC